CCUCGGGAGGCAGCAGUGGGGAAUCUUGCGCAAUGGGCGAAAGCCUGACGCAGCCAUGCCGCGUGAAUGAUGAAGGUCUUAGGAUUGUAAAAUUCUUUCACCGGGGACGAUAAUGACGGUACCCGGAGAAGAAGCCCCGGCUAACUUCGUGCCAGCAGCCGCGGUAAUACGAAGGGGGCUAGCGUUGCUCGGAAUUACUGGGCGUAAAGGGAGCGUAGGCGGAUAGUUUAGUCAGAGGUGAAAGCCCAGGGCUCAACCUUGGAAUUGCCUUUGAUACUGGCUAUCUUGAGUAUGGGAGAGGUAUGCGGAACUCCGAGUGUAGAGGUGAAAUUCGUAGAUAUUCGGAAGAACACCAGUGGCGAAGGCGGCAUACUGGCCCAUUACUGACGCUGAGGCUCGAAAGCGUGGGGAGCAAACAGGAUUAGAUACCCUGGUAGUCCACGCUGUAAACGAUGAGUGCUAGUUGUCGGCAUGCAUGCAUGUCGGUGCGCAGCUACGCAUAAGACACUCCGCCGUCGGGUAGGUACGGUCGCGAGAAGUUAAACGUACGAAGGAAGUUAGACGGCGUGAGACGUGCCGACGGACGACGACGAGGGAGGAGG
rnacentral:rRNA from 1 species